rnacentral:rRNA from 1 species
UGAGUAACCUGCCCUUCACUCUGGGAUAACUCCGGGAAACCGGGGCUAAUACUGGAUAUGACUCGAACAGGCAUCUGUUACGGGUGGAAAGAUUUAUUGGUGGAGGAUGGACUCGCGGCCUAUCAGCUUGUUGGUGAGGUAACGGCUCACCAAGGCAACGAUGCGUAGCCGACUGAGAGGGUNAUCGGCCACAUUGGAACUGAGACACGGUCCAGACUCCUACGGGAGNA